CUCUUGCCUGCGCUUUUCCUUCUCUAAUCAGCUGUGCGGUUUCUCCGGUGAUGGUUGCUUCCGCUGCUGCUCGGUCCGGCUGCCGUCGUCGGGGCCGCUCUCCUGGUAUUCGAGCCGCUGUUAUUGCCCGUGUCCGCCGUGCUGCUGGCCGUCUUUCUUCGCCGGAUUUUCCGUCGCCGGCAAACGCUGGUGCGCGUGGCCGGCUGGCUGAUUCGGGAUGCCGUGUCCGGUCCGGGGCUCACCGGCCGUUUCGUUCUUCCCGGACUGGAGAGCUUUUUUGCCUUUUUGUCGUUGCAGUUUUCUCUGUACAGAUUUUGUGCUACUUCGUCUAGGUUGCCGUCUUCUUGAUUGGUUACUUCAUGCUGUAGGUGUGCACCGAUUAGAUUCGCGGCGAGAUGUUAAUGUGGACGUUGAUAGUCGCCGUCGGGAGAUUUCAUUAGGGAACCGGCCUGUGGAUUGUACCAUUGACACUUCGCCUGUCGAAGUGGUUGACGGAUCGAGUAUUUGUGUUUCUGGUUUUCCUGCUGGUGUUCAUCUUUAUGGCUCCUUGGUUGGUGCUAUGACUUCCCUUUGCCGUCCAAGAGUGGUGCCCUUAUGUGCCGCCGGUACCUUUGGUCGGCCUACUUCUCUUGUGAUGCCUACUCCUGUUACAGAGCACUCUCGUGUUGUGUGUGCUCGCCGUAAGCGGACUUUGGUGUGAUCGUACUGGUCGGGCCGGAAAAGAGUACGUGGGAUGCAACCUCCGUUUUCUAAAGAUUACAUCCAACUGCUUAAGGCUACUUUUAGGGGGCGUUCGUAUUAUGGUGGACCGGAUUUGUGCUGCCGGAAAUGUGGGGCUUUUUUUUAUCCUGAAAUUGUCGCCGCCCUGAUAAAUAUGCCGAAUACACAUCAUCGUUUGGUGGACACGUUCAGAAUUGCUCGAUAGAGUCUGCACCCCUGGUGUUUCUAAGGUGUCCAUUCGUUUUUUUGGUGAUGACGGUGGUGCUCAUGAAACACGUUCUGGUUCAUUGAAGCAUGUAUCUUCACUGAAUUGCAAUCUUAUGGCUUUGCAAUAUCCUAUACUAUUUCCAUAUUGUGAUAAGAGUUAUCAUCGUGGUAUUAGAUAUGUUGAUGGUAAUGAACAUUUGAUUGUUUCCCAAUGCAACUGUGUUAGCUGUGGACACUUGGAUAGCGACAAUGUUGACCGUGAUUUGGAGGAUGGGGAUGUCACCCGUGGUCAGAUUACUAUGUUGGAGUACUACAAAUACUAUGCUCACUAUCGUGAAGGUGAAAUUAAUCCUUAUAUAAGUUGCAGUUGUUUGAGCUAGCAGAUUGCCGUUAAUGCAUAUUCUUGUGUAGAGGCUGAUCGGUUGGAGUACCAUUUCCAUAAACAAGAUAAACUUCAUUCUGAAUCUUAUCGGGGCAUAUCUGAUGCAAUGGGUGUACAAUAAUAAGUGUGCUUGCAUGAAGAAUGAUUGUUGUUCCAAGUGCUUUCCAAAGCCAUUUAGUGAUGAUACAAUGGUUGAUCGUGUUGGCUGUCCGGUUUACCAUCGUUCUGAUAACGGGCUUUAUGUGCUCAGACAGAAGGACUUACUUUAUUUGGGAAAUCAAUGGGUUGUUCCAUACAACAUGAAAUUGUUGAAGAGGUUUGACGCCCUCAUGAAUGUGGAGUGGUGUAACAGGACAAAUUUAUUGAAAUACCUGUUUAAAUAUCUUACAAAGGGUCAUGAUGUGGUUCAUAUGCGUUUCUACGCCCAAGAUAAACCUAGCAGUGUUUUUACUGUGCCUUCUCCUACUGGCAGAAACGAGAUUGACCAGUACAUCAAAUGUACGUUCGCAGAUAGAUUUAGUUAAAUUUAUGUAACUUGUUGUAGUGUUGUUAUAAUUGUUCAACAUAUGGCUAGUAUCUUUCUGCUUGUGAGGCUUUUUGGAGACUGUUUGCAUAUAAUAUUCAUGGUCAUCAACCUUCCGUCGAGAGAUUGGUUGUGCAUAUACCUAAUAUGAACAGGGUCAUAUUUGCCGAGACUGAUAACCUAGGAAAUGUUUUGGAUGAUCCUUCGGCUGCUAAAACUAUGCUUACUGAAUGGUUUGCUGCCACCAAAAGCAUGUGUCUGCUAGGUCUUUAACAUACCUUGAUUUUCCAAGUCAGUGGGUUAGGAAUAAAAGUGGUAAGCUGUGGACUAAACAGAAGAUUAACAAGAAGCAAAAGAAAGAGCAGCUGAAAUGGCUUUAGAAGAUUUUCAAAAGGAUAGUUUCAGAGAAUCAUCCAUAACAUACGAAGGAGAACCAGCAAAUACAGAAGAUGGAGUAAAAGAAAAAGUGGCUGAAAUGGCUUUAGAAUGUAUUUGUGCAGAUUAUAAUAUUUCCGUCAAUGAUCAUAAUUACUAUGCUCUUGAAGUUACAAAGGAAAAAACUUUUUGCAGAGCACAAACAAA